UACGAAGGGGGCUAGCGUUGUUCGGAAUUACUGGGCGUAAAGCACACGUAGGCGGAUUGUUAAGUUAGGGGUGAAAUCCCAGGGCUCAACCCUGGAACUGCCUUUAAUACUGGCAAUCUCGAGUCCGAGAGAGGUGAGUGGAAUUCCGAGUGUAGAGGUGAAAUUCGUAGAUAUUCGGAGGAACACCAGUGGCGAAGGCGGCUCACUGGCUCGGUACUGACGCUGAGGUGCGAAAGCGUGGGGAGCAAACAGG
rnacentral:rRNA from 1 species